CGGGGGCGGGGCCUCUGAGCGCGGGGAGGCCGCGGCCCGGCCGCACGUGGAGGAACUCGACCACGCAUGCGUGCGCCCGCCAAGCUGCGCUCCGCCGCCUUGGGAAGCAGCCUCCUGCAAGUCCUAAUUUCAGCCAUAAGACAGCUGCGGCUUCUAUCUGCAGACCUCCGAUAGGUACAAAUGGCAGCUGGCUUUUCUUCGAUCAUCUCACAAGUGGGAGUUCGUGAUGGCUGGAAUGGCUGUAUUGAAAUUGUGCCUUACCGUUAGUGAUCCUGAACUUUCAACUAUUCGAACAUGCACCUAACAGUCUCCAAACAUUGCCAGAUGUCCCCUGCAGGGCAAACCGCCUGUGGUAGAGAACCACUGCUGUGAGGGAUAUCUUUUGAGGAAAUGGGGAUGAAGGAGCCCUUCCACAGCAAAAUGAACAAAAUGGGGGAAAGCUUAAAUGCAGAUGCAUUUAUCAGGAAAAACAGAUGUGGCAUAAAGGAGGUGGUGUGUAAAAUAGGCUUAUACAAAGUGAUGCUGGAUACAGAUUAUGGAUGUAUUGCACAGGUGAGAGUUGGAGUUUUAUUUGGGAGGAAGUGGGGAGGUAUUUCAUUAUUGAGCAAAGAAUGGCGAGAUCAGAAGGAUUAAUCAAGCAGUUAUAUGUAACCAGAAUUAGAGAGCAGAUACGAUGUAGGGAGAAGUCAGAUAACAAUUAAAGUAGUCCAAGAGAAGUAAUUUUGAACAAGGGUAGUGGUCAUAGGAUUGGAGAGAAUUAAGGUGUUUACCAGCAGAGUAGAAUUUAGCAGUAUACAGAAUGUGAGGAAGAAUCUCAGGUGACUACAUUUUAAAUGUGGGAGUGAUGGAGAAUGGUAAUACCGUGACUGAAAUUGAUAUCACACAAUGAGAAAUGGGUUAUAGAAGAAAAUAACAAGUUUCAUUGUAAUGAUAGUAAUUAUCUGUUUAAAAUCUUCACAAUUGCCAUUCUAGCUGAUGAGUUUUGAUUAGUUGGUGCUGUAGGCCUUUUUGAAAUUAAGUUGAAUUUUGGUUCUUUCUGAACAAUACAGAGUUAUGACUGCUUUUAGACAUCUAUUUAGUGCCUACUGUAGUGUGAUGUUCACUCCUGAAUGCACAAGAAUGACAAAAACACAACCUUGUCCAUUGCGUGAGACUGUGUGAAAGGUCUAGCAAUACUUGUUUGUCCUAUUCCCUAACCCAUUUUUCCCCAUUUCCACAUUAAGCACAGUCGGAGAUAGAACAAAUCAGUAAGUUUACUCCCUUAUGGUAAAUGUUCAGGUAUGGUGACUUCGUCUGUUAAGUGCUGCUUUAACAGAACACUACGGACUGGGUAAUUUAUAAAGAACAGUUAAUUUCUCACAGUUUGGGGGACUGGAAAUCCAAGAACAGGUGCUUGGGCAUCUGGUGAGGGCUGUUGUAUGCUUCCAAGAUAUUUUGGGUUGUCUGGAGGGGAAGGAUGCUGUAUCCUCAUAUGGCAAAAGGUGGAAGGGCAAAAAGGGUCAAAUUGCCUCCAUCAGGCUAUUUUAUAACUCAGUAAUCUGUUAAUGAGGUAGAACCCUCAUGACCUGAACACCUCCCCAAAGGCCCUACCUCCAAUCCUGUUGCACUGGGGAUUAAGUUUCCAAAACAUGAAUUUUGGGGGCCACAUUCAGACCACAGCAUGUGGUAAAGUACUAUGAAAUACAAAUGGAGGAGCAGCUCUACCUGAAGCUCUGCCCUUUAGGUUGGACCUUACAUCUGUCUACAAAGGUAAACUAUGUGUUUUCUAGGUAGAGGGGCAGCAUGACCAAAAGCAGGUAGGAGUGACAAUGCAUGGUUUCUAAUUAAGGUAGUUGUGUUGGUGGAUUGUUUGUGCAAACAUCUACAAAUUCCAAGGACCUUAAAAUGUUACACUUAGGAUUCCAGUAGGCUGCUUCUGCCAGAAUCAGGGUGCUCUACACUUACUGGGUUUCCAAAGUUACAUACGAUCAUGUAGGAAUACUUAAGAUUAGUGGGUAGAGGAGCAGCCAGUACCAGUUCACAGACCUGUAUUACUACUCUGUAUGUGCUCAUAAUACACCUACUGAUAUAUAUAUUUUAAAUUUAUAUUGUUAAAAUUACCUAAGUUUUAUGAUUUUUUUUCUAACCAAUUAUGAUGUUCUAAUGGAUGGGAAGUUUAAAAAUUGAUCAAGGGUUUUUUCCCACUUUAAUUAGUACAGCUCUCAUACCUUCUUUUCCUGUAGGGCAAGGGAUAAGGGAGUGGAGAGGGAUGGGCUGAGGAGAAUAAACAAACUCUUAAUAGCUCCCCCUUGUUUACAGAAUAAACUCCAACAUUCAAGACUUCACAAUCUCAAUCUAACUUUUUUAAUUAUUAUAUGUGAGAAGAGGUAAGGGAAAACUAAGUAAUAGUACAUUGUAAUAUUGAAUAACCUAUGAAUAUGUACCUCUUGUUCAAAACACCCUGGAAACUGAAAGACCUAAGAGGAUAGAAUAGUGGGAGACACUGAGUAUGAUUGAACAAUUGGUCUUGUAUUGUAUUCUUGAGUUGCACAGGUCACUGCUGCAUUUAUCAACUGUUCUUAUGAAGGCAGAAUGCCUUUCAUAAAUGGAUUGCAAAGGAGAGGGAUUCUCUGCAAAUUAAAAUUCUGACUUACUUGGUAACCACAUUUGGCCAGCUUUAAAUACUUAUCUUUAAUAUUUAAUCACUUUUCUGCACCUCUCUUGUAGACCAAUAAGGUGAGAUAAAUGAUCACUAUAAAGUACUGUGAAGAUUAGCACAAGCUAGGCUGUAGAGAAAAUCUGGCUAAUAAAUGUUGACUUAAAGAGGAAACAUUAUCUGACAAAUACAGUUUGAAUUUGCAUAGUACAUAUGCUCAUAAGAACUAAGACUACUAUUGAUUUUAACAUAUAUGGAAAAAGGGUGGCAAUUUUGGGAGUUAAUUAAAUAUCUCCUAAUUCUUCAGUAUUUUAAUCAUAACUUUAAAGUAAUUUUCUCUAGAAAUCGUAUCUUGUAACUACUAUAAAUUUAGUAUUUCCUUAUAUGGAGCUCUUUUCAUAGAGUUCUUAGUUUACCUCAUGUUUUUAAAAAACCUCAUAACCCAUUUCCACCUUUUCUCACUUAUUUAUCCAGCAACGAAAAUGUUCUACAUUUCUUCAUCACACACACUUUAUUCUCUUUUGCUCUCACCACCACAAAUUCUUUUAUAGCUGUGCGGCCCCUUGCAAACAUUCCUGGGUUUCCUUCCCUCUCAGCGCCCAAUUCUCUGUAUUUAGUCUUCUCAGAAAAAAACCUAUCUAUAACCAGGAUUCCCAUGGAAAAAGAAACAAGUUAUUUCUUUUGAAUCUUUUGACAGAAGAAUAUUGAUAAAGAUUAUACUGAUUGAGCUUUAAGCUUAUUUUCAACUAUAAAUUCUCAGUUCACAGGGUGAAUUCAUUUGUUUCAUCUGUCAUUUUGGGGGGAAUCUAAUACAUCUCAGUAAAAGCAUAUCAGAGCAUUCAAACCGGGCCUUAUUUAAAUAGAUAUUUUAGUGACAGUA